rnacentral:lncRNA from 1 species
UAGCUGUGCCUAUCUCGCACCAAAGUGAUGGUUGAAUUCACUGAUGAUUCAAAAGAGUCAUCAUCAAGAGUAAUUGAGUUUUAUUACUGUGUUACGUAUUUGUGAAAUUGUUGUGUAAAUGGUUCCUGGCAGCGUGCGGGAGCAGCGCGUGCGGCGGAUGCGGCGCGUGCGGCGGCUGCAGCGCGGGGUUGGCGACGGCGAUGAUGCUGUCUCCGCGAGCCGCCACCACUUGCGGACGAGACUCUUCGGCUUCCUGGUGAUGGAAAAUGAUAGUUGUGUUAAAGGUGGUGGAGUGCUAGUGCUGGAGUAGGAACACCUGGAGUCGGCGUCAUCACUCUCCGCCUUCACGCCCCACCAGCUGGAAACGAGAACGACCCAUUUAGUACAUCUGUAUUAUCCAAUAUAAUAACUAUUGGAAAGACACUCGACAGUAUGUAGAAAUACUGCAAAAUUUUCUGGCCGAUAUAUGGCAGGAUUUCGUUGGCUAUAGUUUAUUUUGAAGGUAAUCAUGAAUCGAAUCUAAAACUUUUCGUUAAUCGGUUUACCAUUUAUCUCCAUAUACUGAUUUACGAGUCUGAUGAAACUAGAUGAGACUAGAUAGCUAAUAGCCUACAAUAAAAUUACUGCUUAGGAAUUCCCAUUUAAAAUUAUUAUACUCGUAAUAUGCGUCAAAUGAAAAUCACUACUUUUGGAUAAGGAAAUCAUUAUUCAGUGCCAUAUAAAUGGACUAAAGGCACAAAUUGCUGAAAUUCUAGUUGGAUCGUUCUAUUCACCUGUUGGAAUUACUCCUGGCCGCGUCAGGACUUGCUCGGAUACCAUUUCCUUCCUCGCCUUCCUAGAUAUAACAGAAGUUUAUUUAUUUAUAAUGAUUAUAAAGACAUUAUGUAUCAAUUCUCUUUCUACAAUUUAUAAGCUCCAAUAAAUUAGGUGUAAUCAAUUUUGAAUACAUUGUGUCUGGUUUUUUGAGUUUAACUCUUAAAUAACUUAUUAAAGAAAUAAAUAGGUUAGUAUCAGAAAUUAUAAUAAAUCAUGCAAACCUAUAAA